CGGCGAUGAUCUUGCGCUGCCAGUUGUCGCCGCCGGGCUCGCGGAGGCGGAGGUAGACCCCGGAGCCGGUGGAGCCCGGCUCGGCGUCGCAGUGCUGGUACAGGAGGUCGCUGGACUCGUCGGAUACGCUGCAGAACCGUGAGCGGCCGUGAGGACGUGCCUGGGGGAGACGAGGAUGCCGCUGCAGCCCGUGGACAGCUUCACGGCCGUGCUGAAGGGGAAGCUGGUCAGGAACCUUCUGUCCGAGAUGCUGAACCUGCUGUCUGUGCCGUAUACCUGCCUCCUCCUCCUCCGAGCAGGCGCUCCUUGCGCCGUGGCAUUUUGAGUUGGCUCAGGGACCAGACCUUCAACUUUCACUCUAGUCAAGAUGCCCCAAUGAGUGGAAGAGGAGGAUGGGGGGCCAACUGAGGUCCUCUGGGGUCACACAUUUCCUUCCGAGGUCUCCUACAACCUUACUUCCAGGCAUUUCAGAACUAAAGACAGCAGCAGAUGACCUGCGCUUUCCUGGCAUUCAGCUUCUUAACAUCUGGGAUCAUCUUUAGAGCAUAAAUGCUAGCACACAGCUCAAAAAAUGUUCAUUGGGAUACAGUGAAUUUCCCUGAACCGUGGUUUGCUGACCAAGCUCACUGAUGGUGGAGGUGAAAUCACCAGACAGUAUUCUAAAAGCACUAGAAAUUUUAGAAAUAAAUGAGUUGAUCUGCUAUUGAUCUGCUUUUUUAUAAGCAGAAUUCCUUAUCAUAAAAAGAAAAUAUACAACACAGCCCAUUUUAUGUUAAAUAUUAAAACAGGUAUGUUUAUGUUUAAAAAAAAAGGUACCAUAGAUUUUUGUUAAAACAACCUUGUGCUUGAAACUAUCAUCUAAACAAAACAACAUACAGAAAUACUUCACAGUGAGAUUUGACUGUAUAUUAAAAUUAGCUCUAAGAAUUUAAGAUUAUAUAUGGUUUUGAUUUGCCACUUGGGGGAACAUGAUCACGAUUAAAUAAAGUCCCUUUCGUCAUGGCUUUUAUCAUGUGAGAACAGUGCUUUUGUGUUAAAUAUUUUUAAAGUUGUCCCUACUCAAUAAAUAAAAUACUUCUAUUGUGUACUCUUCUU